GCUCUCCAUUUAGCAUCAAAGUCCUGACCACUUUUCCUCAGGUAACUUCUUUAAAUAUAUCAUAGUCUUAGAAAUGAAUAUUCCGUAAGUCCUGACUUCUAUAACUUCUUUGCUUAAGUAAUUCUUUUGGUUUUUGGUUGUAGGCUCCUAGAAAUGAAGAGUCUGGUAUCUAUAUGCUGAAGUUUAUGGAAUGCUACUCAAUGUAUACCAGCCAUUCAAACCUUGAAGGGAACAUAAUUCAAAACGUUAGGAAUAAAUUGGCUGCUGACAUCUUCACCGAAUUAGGGUCAGUCACUUUGUAGAAGUAGCAGACUUCUAAUCAAAAAGUAGUGGAGUAUAAGAUAGAUUUAUCAGCUUUUGUUUCUUAUUUCAUAAAACUUUGUCAUUUGAAUAUUUUAUGAACAUCUGUAUGGAACAAGAUUUAUGAAGUUUAUUUAGUUCAACUCCUGUUUUACAAAAUUAUUGUAUAAUGGUUGUUUGGGUUAACAGGUGCUUUGAUUUGAAUGGAAAAGGACUUUAAACAUGCUUUUAAACAGGGUUUUUAAACGAUUUACAAGCUGCUUUAUAAGGAUUUUAAAAGUGUUGAAAAAGCUGCAAUAGCGGUUAUUAUGAAAAAAAUUUACAAUCGUUUUUAAAAUGAUUUACAACCGUUUUUAAAAGAGAUUUACAAACGAUUUAUAAGCUGUUUUAAAAGCGUUUUAAAAGUGUUGAAAAAGCUGCAGUAACUGUUAUUAUGAAAAGAUUUACAACCGUUUUUAAAAUGAUUUACAACCGUUUUUAAAUGAGAAUUUCAACCGUUGAAAAAGUUAUAGUAAUGUUAAAUACUGUAUCUGUUACUAAUUGGGCCUAGGCCUGUUAUUUAGAAAAACAAACUGUUUUAGUUUAAAAAAAACUAAAAGCCCAAAAAACAUUAAAGCCCAAAAAUUCACUAUAACCUAAAAACAAAUUAAACAGGGAUUGGCUGCUGACAUCUUCACCGAAUUAGGGUCAGUCACUUUGAAAAGAUUUACAACCGUUUUUGAAAUGAUUUACAACCGUUUUUAAAAGAGAAUAUCAACCGUUGAAAAAGUUACAGUAAUGUUAAACACUGUAUCUGUUACUAAUUGGGUCUAGGCCUAUUAUUUAGAAAAACAAACUGUUUUAGUAAAAAAACACUAAAAGCCCAAAAAACACUAAAGUCCAAAAAUUCACUAUAACCCAAAAACAAACAUGGAAGGGAACCGUGAAAAGACAACAAAAAAGUAACAAAAAAAAA
rnacentral:sRNA from 1 species